AUUGUGGUAGCUUUUAGACGGCUACCACUUUCUGAGUGACAAAAGAUUCAAAAUUCAAAGUUGGCACUCAUCCCUCCUCGUCUAUAAAAUAAAGGAGUACCCCAAGCUUAGAGAGCAGGUGCGGUAACAAGUAUUCCAAGUGCAAGUAGUGUUCAAAGUGUUAUGUUCAAAUUGAAUCAAGCUCCCUUAGCUAAAGUAAAAUUUGAGGGAUUUUCAAGUCCAGCACUCAACAAACCAACAACCAUCUUAACUUCCACCAGAAGGAGUUGUGAGAUCAACCUAGCAAGAUGACUUAGAGAACGAAGGUACCAUUGGCUAGCAUUCCCAUCUCAAAAAUUCCCAACCAAACACCCCAUGAUACUGUUUUGUCAUUUAAGUUCAUGGCCAUAAGCUUGAUCAAUGGAGUUUGGUUACGUUCUAUCAACCACACACUUAGCAGUAGUCAGCUUUCUCUUCUCUCUCCCAUCAUCACUCAAGCCAUUAUUGGCUUGCAAAAGAGUCUGAUAUUUCCCCUCCCCAAAUUAAAGUUCACCUUCAAUUCUAGGCAUCCUUAAUAAGGAACUCAAGAACUAGCCACGAAAGUGCACUUCAACUCCACUAUACAAGCCUAUCAUACAUCCUAACAGUCUUGUUCUAGUUUUUUUUUUUUUUUUUUGCCAGACCUAAUACACUAAAGAUUGAACUUCCAUGAAUUAUCUUUGAGUUUUGAAAGCAAUUGUGGAAGCAGUGAAGCUCUGAAGGCUUAUUUGUGGCAAAUGCAAAGGAUGGCAAGGCCGGCAAAUUGUAAUAAAUGGAGUAAAAUCGAGCUGUUCUUAUUAAGAAUGUCCUUUCAAGUAUUACCAGUUUAAUUUAUACAUUUGCUGCUGUUUACUGCCAUUAGGAAAUUGGUGAAAUAGUUUGCAAAUUUGUUCUGGGCUUACAGUAAAGACAAGGAUAAGUAUCAUUGGAGCUCUUGGAGAAAUCUAUGUCAGCCCAGAUAGGGAGGGCAAAAUUUCACUGUGUUUAUUUACAUAUAUAGCUGGGGCUGCUCUGAUCUGCUAAGCUAAUAUGGUGGAACUUCAAACCCAAGGAUUCUUUAUGGGUUGCAUUUAUAUAAAAGCCAGAUAUAUACUGUACUAGAGUUCACCUUGUAGACUUGUAGCUAAAAUUUGGCAACACAGAGACUCCUACACUAAUCUAAGAACACAACGAUUGAUAUAAGGGUGAUGUUUGGUUCAGAAAUCGAAAUUGAAA